CUUAUAGUACGCACCGUACGUAGUACGUGUAGUGUGCGUACUUCAACCGUGCAGACCCUGAAUUGGGACACAGCUAUUGUGUGGAAAUAAUGUAUCUAUAAAGCCAGGGAGGCAGCCGGUUUUUCACCUAUGGCUGACUAUGGCCGGAAAGAAGAUCAACCUCCUAGCACCUGGCGUCCACAUAUGUUGACAUCACAUUUUUUGGUUAUUUAGA